rnacentral:lncRNA from 1 species
UAAUAUACAAAAACCUCAAUAAAACCAAGUAAAAGAUGAUACAACAUCUCUACAAUUUAGGGCUUACAUAAGAAAUGUGAGGUAUCAUCUGAUCAUUUCAAAAUAUGUCGUAAGGGAUUAGUUUGGACUCUGGUGCUACUACUUAAUGAACACUCUUGCUGCCAAAGCUGCUGCUACCGAAUUCACUAUCGACUAUCUCUUUAGGCUUGGGUUAAUUUCCCUUUAUUAAUAAAAAUAUCGUAUUAGUAUACAACUUAUAGUGAAUAUAUAAGUCACGAAGAUAAUGUAAACACAAACAAUUAUGGUUCUAAUUGUCAAACACUGUCAUGUUGCAAAACAUACUACUAUAUACUUGAUUUCAACAGCAGUGGCAACUUAUAUUUCUGUUCAAUCUAACAACAUUUUGCAGACAUUUAAUGCAAAGAGACCAUGUAUAACAAAUAUAAGAUUUUGUUUAUAACAAAAAUAACAAGUUAUUGCCAACCGCCAAGUCAUUGUAGUUGAUCUAUCACAAAAUUUUUGUCUUGUUUUUCUUAUUUUAACAUUAUGGAUCCAUUACUUUAUCAUUUCAAUGUAAGCUAAUAUCAAGUCCUAUCCUGCAGCUUCAUUAUUGACACUUUCUAUUGAUGAAAUUAAAAUUGAUAAGCAUCCAAAAUAAAGCAUUUAUGUGAAUCUUAAAGAUUAAACACAUUGACCCGACACAAAAUGGUUGGCAACCGUUUAAAACUACAAAACAUAGUUGAUGAAGAUAACCUUUCAAAUGAAUUUUGUAUUAACAUGCUGUAGCAUAACAUACAUGUACAAUCUUAAAACUUUUAAGGAAAAUCACAACAUACAUGAACAAAAUCUUAGAUUUUCUAAAAUUACAAAAUCUCAAUAAUACAAAAUAUCUAAUGCUCAUAAAUAUUACAUUUAUUCCUAGUGCUUAUAAAUUCAAUCAAGGCAUGUCAAACACAAGAAAGCUAUCCAUGGAAGGAUUCAAGCAUUUUCUUUUAUAGAAUACUAAUUACAAACUUCAAGCGCACCUUUGUAUCGACUGAAUCACUCUAAGCGUCUAGUCGGUGGAACUGGUGAACCGGUCAACAUGCAUUUGGGUUACUCUAUUCACUACAACUAACAUUAAUUUAUGAAAAGAAUAAGAAGUAUCAGCCACAUUUUCAAUCAAUUUUUGAAGAGCCAUUUUCAUAUUUUUACUCAACUCAUCAACAAAGCAAGCAAAAAAUAACAUGCACUGAAAGUUCUUUGAUACAUACCUCAUUCGUGGCUCCGAAGAAGCAUGAUAUUAAUCGAUAACCAAAGAAACUCAUUGGUCGGUACUCUCUCACCUCGCAGCCUUGAAUCAUUCAUCGCCCAUAUUGGAGUCAUAAGCUCCACCAUUGUCCUCAAUUUAUGGGCAAAAUACUUGAUGAAAGUAUAAGAGAGAAAUGAAAUGGAGUUUGAGCUUGGUUGCUUCGGAUUUGGUAGAGGAAAGAGAUGAGAAUUUUUCAUUUUGUAUUAAAUAUCUAUUGAGCAAAAGCACGUUUCAUUGUACGGAGUGUAAAAGCAUGUUUCAGUCUAUUUCUCUAUGGAUAUUAACAAAG